UAAAAGUGAGAAGUGAAAGUGGAUUCAAAAUCAGAGAGUUUGAAAUUUAAGGUCAAAAUGGCCAAACUGGCUAUUAAUAAAAAUCACAAGUUCAGCUACCGUUGACUUAAAUUUGAAAAUCACUUUGAAUUCUCACUUUAGUACAUAAUCAUGUGUGAGUAUUAUUGCUGUAGAUGUUUUUUAUAGAUUGACACAACCCAGCAAUGUGGAACUCUUAGAAAAAAGGACAAUUGGAUAGAAAAGAGAAAUAGAGGGAUUGGAAUCCAAAAUAGGGACCUUCCUAAAUAGGGACACUUGGGAGGUAUGCAGUUGAUGUUGUUUAUGUCCCCGACCAGCCUAUUUCUUCAUACAGUAAUUGUGCAGGUUGUUGUUUGAAG